UUAGGGAUGUAGCUCAGUGGUAGAGUGUUUACUUAGCAUGUACAAGACCCUGGGUUCAAUCCGCAGCACUGAAA
rnacentral:tRNA from 1 species